CUUCAAUAUAAUAAGCUUUUGUUUAGAUGUGUUGUACUAGUAACAUUUAUUAUUGUACAGUACAUACAUAAUGGCCUUCUACAGAAUGACAAGAAAUGCAGCUCUUGUGUACUUUGAGAUAAUAGAUUGAAACUACAUUACUAUUUAGUAAUAAUUGUUUUUGCUGAAGUUAUGUAACCAAUCAUAUCUUUAAUUUUUCCUCCCUCUCUGAUGCCAGAUCCACUGGUGCCCUGGAGUGUUUCCAUGCACACGUUCUGAUGUACGCAUCAAAACGAAACGCCUUCGUACCACCUGUGUAUGCGACCCGAACACUUUUAGCUGCCCUUGACUACAAUGAACACUGCAGCCGACCCUACUAUGUGAAGGCAGAUGGCAAAUACAGCUACCACAAAAUGUUCAACAAAAAAAGCGGUGGCUUCUGUCUGUACAUAAAGAAGGUCAAGAAGAGUUAUGAGUACAUAAAAGACCUCCAGUGUGCCAUCCUACGCUGCAAGUUGGACCAGUUGGCGGCAGGGAAGGGCAUGCCUCGGAAAAGAACGAUGAGACCAGAUGACCCCCGACGACUUGGGACUCUCAGUGGUGUCCCUGCACCAACGGAACAAAUUUUGGAGACUCAACGCAGCAGAGGUCGUGGUGAACCACUCCCGCAAAAGUAGAAGACAACCUGCACCAACCAGGGCUUGUCCUGGCAUCAAACCUGCCGUCUUGUCUGAAAGGACAACCAGAGAACUCCGGAUCUAAAGCAAUAUUUUCAAAAUGUAGCCUUAUGUAAUUGGUUUCCAUAAUGUAAGAUAUGUGUUUUUGGGAUCUCUGAAUUCCCUCAGUAACAUUUUAAAACAUUAAAACUUUAUUUCAUAAAAUCAAAUUGAUUCUGAAGUUCAUACAGAAUAUGUGGA
ensembl:lncRNA